rnacentral:rRNA from 1 species
UACGGAGGAUGCAAGCGGUAUCCGGAAUGAUUGGGCGUAAAGCGUCCGCAGGUGGUUGUGUGUGUCUAUUGUCAAAGCAUCAUGCUUAACAUGAUAAAGGCAGUAGAAACUACACGACUAGAGUGCGUUCGGGGCAGAGGGAAUUCCUGGUGUAGCGGUGAAAUGCGUAGAGAUCAGGAAGAACACCGGUGGCGAAAGCGCUCUGCUAGGCCGCAACUGACGCUGAGGUACGAAAGCUAGGGGAGCGAAUGGG